rnacentral:rRNA from 1 species
UACGUAGGGUGCUAGCGUUGUUCGGAAUCAUUGGGCGUAAAGCGCGUGUAGGUGGUCAUCUAAGUCGAGUGUGAAAGCCCUGGGCUCAACCCGGGAAGUGCAUCCGAAACUAGUUGACUAGAAGACAUUAGAGGAAGGUGGAAUUCCAAGUGUAGAGGUGAAAUUCGUAGAUAUUUGGAGGAAUACCGGCGGCGAAGGCGGCCUUCUGGGAUGCUCUUGACACUGAGACGCGAAAGCGUGGGUAGCAAACAGG